UACGUAGGGGGCAAGCGUUGUCCGGAAUCAUUGGGCGUAAAGGGCGCGUAGGCGGGAUGGCAAGUCGGUCGUGAAAUCCUUCGGCUCAACCGAAGAACGUCGGCCGAUACUGCCGUUCUUGAGGGAUGCAGAGGAGAUUGGAAUUCCCGGUGUAGCGGUGAAAUGUGUAGAGAUCGGGAGGAACACCGGUGGCGAAGGCGGCACUCUGGGCCGGUACUGACGCUGAGGAGCGAAAGCGUGGGGAGCAAACAGG
rnacentral:rRNA from 1 species